rnacentral:tRNA from 1 species
GCUCCCAUGGCGUAGUGGUCACUGCGCUCGCCUUGCACGCGGGAGACCCGGGUUCGAUUCCCGGCGGAAGGG